rnacentral:misc_RNA from 1 species
GGAACAGAGAGAACAUACGCAAAAAUGAAUGGACUGUGAUAAUAACACUGCUUGUGGUAAUUGCCAUUG